GAGUUCAGAACAAGGAUGCAGUCUUCAUGACUAAGCCGAUUAAUGAAAGGACGCUUAAAGGAACAUUUUUUGGGAACUACAAACCUAGGACAGACCUUCCCUCUGUUGUGGACAUGUACAUGAACAAGGAACUGGAGGUAGAGAAGUUCAUAACUCAUCGAGUUCCUUUCUCCGAGAUCAACAAAGCCUUUGAUUACAUGGUGAAGGGGGAAGGAUUGCGAUG